rnacentral:rRNA from 1 species
UACGUAGGGCGCAAGCGUUGUCCGGAAUUAUUGGGCGUAAAGGGCUCGUAGGCGGUUUGUCGCGUCGGGAGUGAAAACUCAGGGCUUAACCCUGAGCCUGCUUCCGAUACGGGCAGACUAGAGGUAUGCAGGGGAGAACGGAAUUCCUGGUGUAGCGGUGAAAUGCGCAGAUAUCAGGAGGAACACCGGUGGCGAAGGCGGUUCACUGGACCGGUACUGACGCUGAUGCGCGAAAGCCAGGGGAGCGAACGGG